GUCUCUGCCCGGUAGGGCGGCCUCGCCAGGCGCUUAGGCCCCGUUCCUUGCGGCUUUCGGACUAAGGGGUGCAGGGCUUUUUCUUGACUGGGGUUCAAGGACUGCUCUGCUGCCUGAUUGCUUUAGAGCCUAAGAAACAAGGAGGGCGAGGGCCGAGACCAGGGACACGACCAGCCCUCCAGAUCUGGUUCUUUCACAAGCUCCGCAGAGGCCCCAUGUUGGUGUGCGUGUGCAGUAGUGUUUCAGAGCGUCUGUGUAUCACACGCUACAUGAUUAACCCUAAUGUAUGUUUUUAAUGUUUUUAAAAAUUACAACAACCUUUCCGGAUAGGGCGUAUCACCCCGUGUUGCUGUUGAGGAAGGAUUUACCUGCGGGGAAAAUAGAAGCAGGAUCGGAACUCAGUCUGGCUUCAGAUGGAGCUCUCUCCAUUUCUCAGAGGCCCUGAAGGAUACAGCAGGACAUACUAUUUAUUUAUUAGACUGUAAU
rnacentral:lncRNA from 1 species